UCUGCCUCUAUCAUGCAGCACAGAAAGGGAGCUUGUUUCUAUAGGAUGACAGAAUGCCCUGUUCCUGGGAAACCUGCUUGGGGACGGGGAAUGACAGGAAGUAAAAUUAUAGGUACCACCAGGAGAAAGCCUUGACUUGCGAGAAAGAUUCCUACUUUCCUAAGGCUAACUGCAUCUUCCCAAAGUCAGUAACGACAUCCAGGAGCCUCUCAAGAGAAGAUAAAAGCAUCCGGCAGAAAAGUAGAGUAAGUGAGAGGCUAAAUCCUUCAUUUCUAAGACUGAAGAGAUGGACAUCAAAAGAAAAGGAUAAUGCUGGAAAGGGUCACAGUGUCGGAAGAGGUGCAAAGAGCAGUAAUCGUGCCUCUCAGCUAGCCCUUUUGGGGGCUUGGCUGCCGGUCUCUUUAACAGUGUGAGCAAAAGAGACAAACCUGAAUCCAUGCCCUUUUGA